rnacentral:tRNA from 1 species
GCCCGGGUGGCGAAAUUGGCAGACGCGCCAGGUUGAGGGCCUGGUGAGCUUAAUAGCUCAUGCUGGUUCGAAUCCAGUCCCGGGCA